UGGGGAAUAUUGCACAAUGGGCGCAAGCCUGAUGCAGCCAUGCCGCGUGUAUGAAGAAGGCCUUCGGGUUGUAAAGUACUUUCAGCGGGGAGGAAGGGAGUAAAGUUAAUACCUUUGCUCAUUGACGUUACCCGCAGAAGAAGCACCGGCUAACUCCGUGCCAGCAGCCGCGGUAAUACGGAGGGUGCAAGCGUUAAUCGGAAUUACUGGGCGUAAAGCGCACGCAGGCGGUUUGUUAAGUCAGAUGUGAAAUCCUCGGGCUCAACCUGGGAACUGCAUCUAAUACUGGCAAGCUUGAGUCUGGUAGAGGGGGGUAGAAUUCCAGGUGUAGCGGUGAGAUGCGUAGAGAUCUGGAGGAAUACCGGUGGCGAAGGCGGCCCCCUGGACGGAGACUGACGCUCAGGUGCGAAAGCGUGGGGAGCAAACAGG
rnacentral:rRNA from 1 species